rnacentral:misc_RNA from 1 species
UAAUAAGUGUUUUAUGGCACUUUUUAAAUCCAUAUCCACCUUGUGUGCAAUGUCAGUCGAUCUUCUUCAUGGAGAUCGACCAGAACAUCAACCUUUAUCUUUUAACUCUUUGUCUGAAAAAUAUUAUGAAUAAACAAUUCAAAAUA